rnacentral:lncRNA from 1 species
AUCUUAUGCCUCUAAAGGUUGACUAGUUUCUCUUUCACCAUAAUCCACCUAAUCUGUUGCUUCUCUCGCAGGUUGUGGUCAAGAAAUGGGACAUCCCCGCCCCCUACCAAGCCAUGUGACCAGAUAUCGAAUUCCUUCGGAAUCGGAAUGUACGCCCAAACUCUGUCAUCUCCAGUAAGGUAUGUAUGCAUUGCAGUGGUGAUCGGUGCCAUUUUAUGAUGAGUGAGGACGAUAGAAAAAACAUAUAAUUAUGCGCAUGGCCUUAUUUCUAUUACAGCACAUUGGAUGACUGUCAUUCAUAUUCCAUUCACUCCGCUCAAUGUAACAUCAAUACGUUUCGGCUACUACAUGAUACUCAAAUGUUCCCUAUACCCAUCAUGAGGUUGCUACAACCUAGCCUAUGAAGGAAACUUUACAACAUAAGUGCACAGGUCGAGAGAAAUUUGAGUAAUCAAGGUGACAGACAUUGACGCAUUCAAUACCGCCUUGCACACUCUUGUCUGUAUGUAGCUGAUCUAAGGUGUAACCAUUAGUCCAGCAGUUGCAAACAAAUUUAUGUUGGACAAAUUCAAGUAUGUUUAUCCCCGUUUUGUUCUGUUUGCUUCCGUUUAAGAAACAUAAGCCCCUGAUCACAUGCAAACACAGUUCACUUUCAUAGCAGCCACAUACAAACAGCAAUGAUCCCUUUGAUUGUUGUAUAAUUCCUUAUUGGAUCUAUACAGUCUCCUCUCACCUUUUCCCUUCGCUUGUGGACUUCAGUGCACAACACAUCAGCUGUCUGUUAACAUGCGAACCAUUCCAAGCCAAACCUUAAUAUCAUAACUGCUAACAGCUACACACAGCCUACAUCGUUGUCACCAUAUUAGCUAACAUCAUAAUUAACAUAGCUACUAGAACUAACGCGUUACUGAACUGCUACAAUCACACAGGACCGUGUACAGCAAGCAGUUUAGCAGUUACACCGGCGGGCCCUGGUGGUUAUAAAACCAAAAGCUUACCUUGACUUGGAAGAGUUCCAGUGUUGGAUAGCCAUAGCCAGCUAGCUAACAUAGCAUCCCUCUCUGAGCCAGGUAUUAGAGUAGGCUAAACUAGCUAGC